UUAUUUAGAAGGGAGAGAGCAAAGAGGAACUGCAAGACUAUGCAAAGCUGACAGAUAUCGAGAAGAAUGCAAUUGUGUUCCAGAGGGAGCAGGCACGUGCCGUACUAGGACGGAUUGUAUCGACCAAAUUGGCCUGAACGGUUGCUCCACACUACGCGUCGACUGCAUAAAUAACACAUGCAUAUGUCCCAAACGGUGUGCAAAUAAUAAUGAAUGUACAUGUCCGAAUGAGGAUCGUCCCAGUUGCAAUAGACUUAGUGGUUACUGCGAAUGCACCGUUUCG